GACGAAGGGGGCUAGCGUUGUUCGGAAUUACUGGGCGUAAAGCGUGCGCAGGCGGUUUCGUAAGUCUGUCGUGAAAUCCCCGGGCUUAACCUGGGAAUGGCGAUGGAGACUGCGAGGCUAGAGUUUGGCAGAGGGGGGUAGAAUUCCACGUGUAGCAGUGAAAUGCGUAGAGAUGCGGAGGAACACCGAUGGCGAAGGCAGCCCCCUGGGCUAGCACUGACGCUCAGGCACGAAAGCGUGGGGAGCAAACAGG
rnacentral:rRNA from 1 species